rnacentral:rRNA from 1 species
AGAGUUUGAUCAUGGCUCCGGAUGAACGCUGGCGGCGUGCCUAACACAUGCAAGUCGAACGAAGCUUGACGGAUGAUUUCUUCGGAAUGAAACCAGAUAUGACUUAGUGGCGGACGGGUGAGUAACACGUGAGCAACCUGCCUUUCAGAGGGGGGAUAAACGGCUGGAAACGGUCGCUAAUACCGCAUGAUGUGUUCGGAUGGCAUCAUCUGAACAUCAAAGAUUUA